rnacentral:rRNA from 1 species
UACGUAGGGUGCAAGCGUUGUCCGGAAUUAUUGGGCGUAAAGAGCUCGUAGGCGGUUUGUCGCGUCGGCUGUGAAACCCCGAGGCUCAACCUCGGGCCUGCAGUCGAUACGGGCAGACUAGAGUUCGGUAGGGGAGACUGGAAUUCCUGGUGUAGCGGUGAAAUGCGCAGAUAUCAGGAGGAACACCGGUGGCGAAGGCGGGUCUCUGGGCCGAUACUGACGCUGAGGAGCGAAAGCGUGGGGAGCGAACAGG